rnacentral:rRNA from 1 species
GCCAAGAGAUGAGUUCUCCCUGUUUUUAAGACAGUAAGGGUUGUUUAAGACUAAGACGUAGAUAGGUCUGGUGUGUAAGCGGUGCGAGCCGUUGAGCUAACAGAUACUAAUUGCCCGAGAGGCUUAACUAUACAACGCUCAAGGGUUUUG